CGGACUGCAGUCUGCAACUCGACUGCACGAAGCUGGAAUCGCUAGUAAUCGCGGAUCAGCACGCCGCGGUGAAUACGUUCCCGGGCCUUGUACACACCGCCCGUCAAACCAUGAGAGUUGGCAACACCCGAAGUCGGUAGUCUAACCGCAAGGAGGACGCCGCCGAAGGUGGGGUUGAUGAUUAGGGUUAAGUCGUAACAAGGUACC
rnacentral:rRNA from 1 species